UACGUUUUUUAAGGGAAGCAGAGGUUUUAGGCAGGAUUUGAUGCAUAAGGUGUGUGUAGAUAUUAAUGUUAGGGGAGAAUGUGAGUGAUGUGUACAUUUAGUAGGAAAACCUAUUAUCUGAUCCACACUCCGGGACAGAAGAGGGCGGUAUUGCACCAAUAAGCUGGAUGCCAACCGCCGUUAAACUGGAAAGAAGUUACAAUGAGUUACAAUGGUUAUGAAAAUGUCUGCAGACUGGUGUGUGCACUGAGGAUGGAGAAGUCCACUGCAGCAUCUGAAAAUGGUCCAGAGACACGGAUGAGACGCUCCAUCACUCCAGCUCUUACUGUCUCAUCAGGACCAGAUGCUGCUGUGGUCUCUUCAUCCUCAGUGACCCCUGAGCAGCGAGAGCAUCUAGAGAAAGACCAAAAGACACUGAGGAUUUGAUUUUGGUAGUGGUGCUCAUGGAGAGCAGCACACGAUUGUUUGGAGCAGACACAGCAGCAGUCAGAUUGUCCUGCAUGUGUUCUUCUGCUCUCGCUUCAAGGUUGUGUGGUGAGAGCCGACAUCAUGGUCUUCCUUACCUGUUGCUCAACGACAUCCCCGUUGAGAAGAGUGAGAUUGUGAAGCACAGCGCAGCAGAACUGUCUCAGCUGUGUUGAGAUGAUAGUAAGAUGUGGGGUUCACCGUCUGUAAAUACAUGAUUGUUAGAACAGUAAGUUUGAAUGAAGCUUUGUUUCAUGUGUUGUUGACUUGUACAUGUAUGCAUUUAUUGUGAUGCCAACAUUUAUACAUUCUUUUAAUCAUUUAGACAUGUUUCUUGUUGUCAGUAAAUAAAAUAUAAAUAUUUGAUCUA
ensembl:lncRNA